AAUUCACCCUGGACUCUGCAACCUGCCUCCUGUCAUGAGCCAGGGCUACAUCCACCCACCUUCAGGACUGUCCUGCCAUGUGACCAGAGUAGGGGCAGGCAGUUUCUGUACAGGCAGAAGGUCACGAGGGACCCGGAGUUCCUCUUGUGCUUGACCUUCGGCAGACCUGUUCUAGGCCGAGGCCAGGGCAAAGGGGCUCCUGGCUCUUGACGCUUCUCCCAGCAGAGUCACUGCCCGCGGCCUCGUUCUAGAAACACCCUUGGGGCGGAGCCUAUCUCUCCCCGAGCUUCGGUUCAUUCUAAGCAACAUUCAUGGAGGAUGGCGGACUGCCACGUGGGGAACAGGCCUGGGGCUGCCCUCAGCGUCCACACACCACGCUAUGUACACGUAUAUACAGGGGACCGGGAUGGGCUGCCCAGACUCAGACGGCGGACGCCAGCUUCCGCUUGGUGCUCUCGCUGCAGCGGUGCAGGAUGAGGUCAGCGCUGGGUCUCGGGGGCACCGCGGGCUGCGGCUUCGCACACUGGGUCUGCAGAUUGUCCUCUGCAGGAAAACCGCAAGGCGGGUGAGAGGCCCCCGCCCCCGCGUCUCUGGCCCCGCCUCCGAGCCCUUGGCUCCGCCCACCCCCUGCGCCGCGUCGCUCUCGGAUCCCGCCUGCUCGUCCUCCCUCUCCGCCUGGCUCCGCCCCUGAGCUCGCCCCGCCCAUCGCGCCCUCUGGGCACGCCCCUAGCCCGUGGUCCCGCCUCGCCCUCUAGCGCUCGCUCCGCCCCAAGUCCCAACCCCGCCUCGCCCCGCCUGGGUCAGCGCUCACCCUGAGAGCUCCCUGCGCUCUGCGGCCCCGGCCGCGCCAGGCGGCGGCGCUGCUGCAGGAAACGGACGCUGUUGCGGCGAUAGGCGUCCUGGCUGAGGCGCUUCCGCGACCGCUGGUGGAUGCUGUGCGCAUUGCGGAUGGUCGACCUGGCCCAGCAGGAGGGAGCGACAUUAGAACCGGUCCCCCGCCGCACCCGCGUCCCUGCCACCAGGACUCGGGUGGCACACCCCAACCCCGGGGUCCAAAGACGGGCCGAGCGAGUGGGGAGCGGGCUGGAGGUCUCCACGACCCGGGCGGGCGGGACGAGAUGCAUCUGCUGCCCAGCCCCGGCCCGCCUCCCGCGCACCUUGCUGGUCUUCCCUUCCCCGGAAGCCCCCCGGGACUUCCCGGUAUUCACCGCACACCCUAAGGGCCCGGAACAUAGGCGGCUGCGCCUCUGCCUCCCGUCCCGCGGUCCUCCACAACCCCUCCCCCACCCCCACCCCCACCCCCACCCCCGGCCUGCCCCGCCCGGCCCCGCGAUCCUUCCGCACCUGCGGGGCGGAGCCCCUCGGCUCUUGAUCUGGCGCUGGGCCUGGGCGGGGUCCUGUCCCGACUUCUGCAGGUACAUGGACGGAAAGUAGCCAGUGACAUCCUCCUUCCUGCAACAGAGCCAGCCCUUGAGGCCCGGGCAGAGGUGGGGGGCUGGGGCGGAGGGCAGGCCUAGAGGCUGCAGAGAACCAGGUGCCGCCCGCUGGGCCUCAAUGUCCCCACCCGUGCCCGCGCAGCGCCCUCCCAGCUCUUCUUCUGGGAAGGGGAAGGAAGUUAGAAGGAUCCUAGUCUCCCAGGGGUCAUGUGCUCGCUAAAGGACAUCUGCAGAAUUAUUCUUGUCAGCCUUUUCUUUUAUGGUGAUUGCCUUUGUGUUUUCACGAAUGUCGCCACGUUCUUCUCUGCCUUCCAAUCACUUUUUAGGUUUUACCCUUGGUGAAAACCUGUGAUUCAUUCAAAAUACAUGUUAUAGUGUGAGGCCGAGGUCUGGGCUUUUCUGCUUUUUACUUUUUCUCCCCAAAGAAUAUGCAGCUGUUCCAGUACCAUUUCUUGGUAAGAUUUUCCUUUCCAUUCUCAAUACUAUACUUGGGGGUGAAAACGAAAAUCUUUGCAAAGCACAGAAGUCACAAGGUGAAACCCCAAUUCUUGGCAGGUGAGAGAAUCACAAAAAGGUUCCUGGUGCGCAUGCCGGGUGUGAACUGGAUGUGGGUCUGAGGUGAGGAAAACUGCCUCAAAAUGAGCUCCCAGCCCAGGGCCACGCUGGGAUGCAUGUUGUGACCCAGCCGCGAAGUAAGGGCAUGGGGUGACCAGGUGGCCUAGGGCUCUGAAAACACAGGCCCUGGGAGGUCCCCUGGCUGCAGAGAUUGUUUUCCCCAGAACCAGAAAAAAAUAGCAUUCUGACAUUCAUUAGGAGGAGUAUCGAUGGGAAUUGCAACGCAAGCUUUCCAAGCUGUGAUGUCGCCAGUGUGCCUUCAUCACAUGUGAUACAACAGCUGUGCUGCUAGAGGAAGAAAACUUGGGGGACCAGCCCGAAGAGACCCUAAGUCUCAAAGGGGAAGUGUGCCCACUUGGACCAGAACAGUGAACCCCACAGGACAGGCAGGAUGGGUUCACACCUGCCCUGGCUCCUGUGAUGAAAGCUGAGCCCAGAGAGGGGCAGCGGCUCUCCCAGUCACACAGCCAAGCCAGCUCAGAGCCCACACAGGCUCUGCCCAGGCCAGUGCUGACUCAGGAGGCUCCUAGCGGGGAGGCGCUCUCCUACCUGACCACCCACCAGCCGUCCAGGAGCUUAUGAAUGACCUCAAUGGUUUCACCCUGGGCCAGGGACAUCUCGUCCUCUUCCACGGCAGUGUAGGCUUUGAUGGUGACAUAGGGCUCACCUGGGCGGUGAUGGGGGCACAGGGCAUGACGUGAGGGUCUGCCAGCGGGGACACCACCGACUCUCCUCACUCCUGCCUCUGUAGGUGCCUCCUGCCACCCACUGCUGGGGUCCACUCUGGACCUCAGCCCUCUGCCCGCUGUGCUCAGGGGAGCAGCCUCCCACCCCCGACCAGCCACACCAGGGGAGAGGCGUCUCAUCACUACCGCAGCCUGGUCAGGCGCCCAGAUAGGAAAGGCAGGUGGGGCGCAUGCGGGCCCGAGGCACCCGGGGCCCCCCAGCACUGGCCAGUGUCGGCCUUGUCUAGUUUUAAAAGGAGCCACAGAUCCCCGACUCCCGCCUGCAAUGCUGAAAUCUCUGUUUGAAACAUGACCGACCAGCGGUUUCCACGCCGGCCCUGGCUGCCCGCCUCCCCUUCUGGACAGCCCUCCACCCCAGCCGCAGGCCUUCUGCUGGGCCAGCCCUGACGGCCACCGCUGUGACCCAGCCUGACCUCCUCCUGCGCCCCUGCUUCUGUUCCACUUCCUGGUUCCCAGUCUUGGCCGUCCUGGGAGACAAGGGCCCCAAGCCCACAGUGCUGGGCCUCCGCCUCUGCCUCCCCGGCAGCCAGACCAAACCCAAAGCCGUCACCUGGCUCCUCAUCCCGGGCCCUCCUGCCCGGCCCCCGGCUCUCCCAGGGCCUGCGAGGGCCGGGUCACCUGCAUAGUUGGGCUCCGGGUCCUCGGCCUCAUCGGGACUGUCCAGGGGCUCCAGGAAGGACGCUGGGACCCAGCCGCGCUUGGCCUUCAUUUGGCAGAACCACCAGCCUGUCAGGGAGCAGGGAGGGACUGAACCCAGGGGCGCCUACCCACUGAGCCCUUCCUUUUUUUGAGACGGGGUCUCAUCAUAUUGCCCAGGCUGGCCUUGAACUCCGGGCUCCAUGCCCCCUGCCACAGCCGCCCGCGUGCUGGGAUUACAGGCAGAUGCCACCACACUGGCUUCAUGAGCCGACAUGUUUAAGACAGCGCCUGGCACACAGUUGCUGGGAGCCAGGGGCUGUGCGGGGCUCUGCAGCCACCUGCACGGUGACCCCCAAAGGCCCAAGUCUUCCAUGGAGGACAGGAGCCUGCAUAGCCCGCCCUCCCCAGCGGCUCUCUGCCCUGCGUGCCCCACCUCUGGGUCCCUGACCAUGGCGGCAGUGCCCGCGGGCCCCGGCCCUGCCCCGCCUCACCUGCUGCAUUACUCUUGCCAUCUUUGGGCACCAGCUGUGUGACUUCGGGCAGCUCCCUGGCUCUCUCUGAGCUUGGGUCUUCUGGUCUGGAAACGGGGAAGGCCCCUGCCCUCCGGGCUGACUGCCCACCGCCCGCUCCUGCCCGGCCACUCACUGGCUGUCCGUGGGGAGCUUGAGGUCUUCCGGGCGCACCUUGAAGAAGUCCAGCAGGUGGGGGCAGCGCGAGAUCUUGGUGGGCAGCCCCAAGAGCGCCCUGCAGUACUCGCGAGGCCUCUCCCUGGUGGCCGCGUGGACAGUCGCCCUCCCACCUGGUUCUCCUUCCGACUUCCCUGUUCUUCUGUCCACCGUUCUGAUGUGACCCACGUACCACUCAAGUGGCUAUUGUUUCCGUCUGUUCCCCGCCUCCUCCGCUGGAUCCAGAGUCUGUGAGGAGGGCGGGGGCUCCACCGGCUUCUCCCACCCUCGCCACCGUGGCCGCGUGUGCUGCCCGCUGACUACCUGCACAUGGCACUUAGUAGGUGCUCACUAAGCCCUCGAGCCCACCAGUUAGCCGCAGGGGCUGACCUACAAUGGAAGGAGCUAGGACUGCGGGGAGAGGACAUGGAGCCACCAGCGCACCAGCCAGGGCAGAUCUCAAGCCCAGUCGGCAACAGCCACGGCAGGAAAGGCGCUAAAAAAUGUAUAUAAAAAAUGUUGAAAAAGAGAAAUCCUCCAAGCAAAUCAAGCGCCAUGAUCGCCAAGUCUGGGGCUGGCGCGGAGCUCAGCGCGUCUCCCUUGAAGUUUCUUGCCUGGCAGAUGCAGGACCCCGCGCAGCCGCAGGAUGCCUUCCGGCUUUACGGAGGCUUUGCAGGUGCAGGUUGGCUAUUAUUUACAAAGGAAAAACAGCAGCUUGACAACAGAGAGACUUGGAAGACACAGCCAUGACCGAGGGUCCAAAAGGGGCAAGUGGAAACCGCAGCGCCCUACAGCUAGGGUGAGCGAAGGCUGGCUUGGCCGCAAAGAUGGCCCUGCCCAGGCCGCCAGAGUCGGUCUCACGGAGGCCUCGGACGGGCACCGACGGAGGGACACUCUGCAGAGCCCUGGCCUGCACUCUCCAGAACACCAGUUGAGGAGGACGAAGGCCAAUUAAGAAGGACCCAGCUGGAAGCCGGGCGCGGUGGCGCACCUGCAAUACCAGGGGCUCCCCGGCCUGAGGCAGGGGGACCCCAAGUCCAAAGCCGGCCUUGGUAAGGGAGCGAGACCCUGUCCCAGAAUAAAGAAUAAAAGGGCUGGGGCGUGGCUCCGUGCAAAGCACCCUGGGUCCACCCUAGCCCUGGCCCCUGCCCCGAAGAAAAGGCUGAUCCUGACUAGAGAAGACGCAGCGGCGACUGGUCACAGCCCGAGGCUGGAUCUGAAGAAGCGCUCAACUCCCGAGGACAAGCGGGCCCAGCAGCCGUGGCUGGAGACCGGGGCCUGCACGUUCCAUCCCUGGAGUUGGACUCGUGGGCAUCGCAGUUGCGUAACAGAAAGUCCGUGGUUUUAAGAAAUGCAGGGCACUAGGGUCAAGAAGUAGUGUCCCAACUUCCCCUGAAGUCGCCCAGAGUCACAAUCUACUAAGUGGAGUUCCUCCCUGGCCUCCUCUGGGCCUGGGGACCCAGGGACCGGUGGCUUUCAGGGCAGGACGGGACAUUUUUGCUCCCCAUGUUGGUGCGGCCUGGAGACCCCAGUGUAACUGACACCCAGGGCCACUU